AUCUGAGAAAGGCGGAAGGGAGAACCCUCCCAAAAAUCUGCACCGUCUCUGAUCAGCGCCCCCAUAUAGUGACGAACCUGUGUUUAAGUGAAGACAGUCCCCGCGUCUCCCAAAUGCGAAAAAGGCAGGGUCUCAGAACCUGCUGGAAAGUCUGGAUUUCUUCUAAUCGAUGUUGUGAAAAAGGAUGAGAUCCUGGACAUUGAAACUGAG